ensembl:lncRNA
CCUGAAGCUGCCUUACAUUGUAGGAACCACCGUCCAUCAUAGAAAACACUUGCAGAGUAACAACCAGUGUGAUUGUCAAAUCAGUUCACCAGGUUUCUCAACUCUGGAAUGUGAUCAAACCACCGAUUACAACCAGUUUAACCGUGGGCAGAGUUGAAUGGCUCUUCACUAUAAAACAAUAUUUCUGCCAGAAGGUGCAGUUUUUUGGUGUAUGGAAAAAGACGCUGAAGCCCCCAAUGGGAAUGGAUAAAGCUGAACAGGCUCUUGAGAUCCUGCGUGUGCUGCCAUCACUGUUCCCAUCCACCUCUGCUCCUCCAAAGAGGGCACGGGAUGCGAGUGAGGCUCUGGUGCAUGUCCUUGAGGUGAGUUGUGUAAAAUGUAGCAGUUGUUUUUUGUUUUUGUUCUUUUUGGGACAAC